GCUCAGGGCUGUAGGUGCUUGGUUUAAAAUAGAUAUUACUGAGGUAUGCACAGGAAAUCUAUUAACCGAAGAACUCAUUUUUGGCAGACACUUGUGAACAUCUGAAGUUACACAUCUUCACUCUGUGGUUCAUCUUCAUAUUUUUUUGUAAGGUGGACGUUUGUGUUGUUAAACAGAAGUUUGGGGGAAGCAGAGAGAAAGGGUGUUUAAUGCACAGCAACAUUCUUGGACAGCAGCGAUUCUGUGGUGCUAAAUCCAGGGUCUGAAAUGUGAGUAUCAGCAGCAUAGGGUACAAAAUAAAAAGUGAGAAGUUUGCAGUCUGUUAACUAGACAGUACAUUGUAGAAUAAUUACAUUUUAAUCAACAAUAUAAUAACAAAGCAGUUAAAUAUACAAAUAUUUAUGGUAACAUUUCGUGCAGAAAAAAGGGCAACAUACCACCUUGUGGGAGAGAAAGAAAAGGAAAACACAAAUCUAUAGGAUUGUAUGUAUUGUACAGGUGUGGCAAUUGUCCGUCUGCUGCUCCCUGGUUUGCUCAUGAAAGCUUCUGAAAUUGCUGAAUCUCAGUCAGUGUGGGUACAGGAGUUCAAGUUUGCCGAAAAGUUUUAUUUAUUUAUUUCUUUUAAAUAACUGUGGUAUUGCAGUCAGAAACAUACUUCAUCAAUAUAUUUUUUAUAAAAAUUCCUAAACAGAUUAUUGCAAUGGGCUUUCUGUUUUGUUUUUGUUUUUAAAUUAAAAUCAGAGUUUAAUUUUUUAAAGGUGUCAAAAUUGUCAUGUAAACGCACUGAUUUACCCAAUUAAAACACAUGCAGAUUGUUACUUGUUAAUGGUUUCUGCAUCCUUGUUGUUAUGUG